rnacentral:tRNA from 1 species
GCCCCUAUCGUCUAGUGGAYCAGGACAUCCCCUUUCCAAGGAGGCAACGGGGUUCCACUUCCCCUAGGGGUA